rnacentral:misc_RNA from 1 species
GUGAAGAACGUAGCGAAAUGCGAUAAGUAAUGCGAAUUGCAGAAUUCAGUGAAUCAUCGAAUCUUUGAACGCACAUUGCGCCCGCUAGUAUUCUGGCGGGCAUGCCUGUCUGAGCGUCAUUUCAACCCUCGCCCCCGGCUUUUGCUGGGAGCGGUGUUGGGGAUCGGCCGCCCGUCACUGGGAGGCCGGCCCCGAAAUAGAGUGGCGACCACGCCGUGUGCUCCUCUGCGUAGUAGUAAAUCACCUCGCAGGCGGACAGCGGUGCGGCCUGCCGUAAAACCCCCAACUCUUUCUGGUUGACCUCAGAUCAGGUAGGAAUACCCGCUGAACUUAAGCAUAUCAAUAAGCGGAGGA